rnacentral:lncRNA from 1 species
CCCAUGCCCUUUCUUUCCAUCUAGGCUCUGUCUGAAGGCUUAAUUCAGCUACCUUAUCUCUCUAGGUAUGUGGAGACCAAAGCCAAGGGGCUGUUUUCCUGAGGGAAUUCACACUGAUUCGAAGAGAGAGCCUUCAUGAAGAUUUCCUGUCUGACUUCUUGAAUGGUCACAAAACUGAAGACCCGACCAUGGUGGUGGAGCCUGAUUUUCUGAGCACUGCAUGUACCAGAAAAAUCUCACUGCUGCUGGCAGAGUCUGUCAUGUAGCACUCAGAAAUGUGUCAUGAGAAAUGAUCCCCAAUCUCAGUUGAGG